UACGUACUGUGCGAACGUUAUUCGGAAUCACUGGGCUUACAGGGUGUGUAGGCGGCUGAAUAAGUAGGGUGUGAAAUGCCUCGGCCUAACCGAGGCACGGCGCUCUAAACUGUUCGGCUUGAGUGAGAUAGGGGUGUGCGGAACUUCCAGUGGAGCGGUGAAAUGUGUUGAUAUUGGAAGGAACGCCGGUGGCGAAAGCGGCACACUGGGUCUCAACUGACGCUGAGACACGAAAGCCAGGGGAGCGAACGGG
rnacentral:misc_RNA from 1 species